rnacentral:rRNA from 1 species
UACGGAGGGUGCGAGCGUUGUCCGGAAUCACUGGGCGUAAAGGGCGCGUAGGCGGCAUGCCAAGCGUGUGGUGAAAGCCCGGGGCUCAACCCCGGGUCGGCCGUGCGGACUGGCGUGCUCGAGCACUGUAGGGGCGGGUGGAAUUCCGGGUGUAGCGGGGGAAUGCGUAGAGAUCCGGAAGAACACCGGUGGCGAAGGCGGCCCGCUGGGCAGGAAGGCGCGCAAGAGCCGGCUGACGCUGAGGCGCGACAGCGUGGGGAGCAAACAGG